AAUCAGUGUAUGAAACGAGUUUUUCCAGUGAGAAGAAAUAGUGUGGUUUCUUAGUAUUUCUUUUCUUGAACAAGGAGCUAAGCUGCUUUGCUCCACCACACCCUUCAGUGACGAUGUCCUGCCUUGAAGCCAGCUGACCAUGGACUGAAACUGUGAGCCAAAAUAACCCUUCCGCUUUUAACCACUCCAGUUUACCCUGAGUGUCACUUGGGCAGUGUAUUUAUUUAUGUACUGACUAUCCCAAGCAUGGCUUGGGCAGGCAUCAUUUCAACCAGUUGAUUCUUGUUUGCACGAGAUACACUUGUACAUCUGUUUAUUUGAUUUAUAUUGACGUUAUUGCAUUUUUAAAAUUUAAAAUGCUGAAUUCACCUUUGA